GCGCGUUCCGAGGGGAGCUCCGAGGGGGAGCUGAGAUACCGCAGCGUGAAUGCGGUGACCCUUUGAACCUGAUCCGGGUCAUGCCGGCGAAGGGACAGGG
rnacentral:ncRNA from 2 species